rnacentral:rRNA from 1 species
CCCUUAGAUGUCCGCGGCCGCACGCGCGCUACACUGAAGGAAUCAGCGUGGCUUUCUCCCUGACCCGAAAGGGUUGGGAAACCCGUUGAAUCUCCUUCGUGAUAGGGAUUGGGGCUUGAAAUUGUUCCCCAUGAACGAGGAAUUCCCAGUAAGCGCGAGUCAUAAGCUCGCGUUGAUUACGUCCCUGCCCUUUGUACACACCGCCCGUCGCUACUACCGAUUGAACGGUUUAGUGAGGGCCUCGGAUUGGUCUCGGCCCGCUCUUUACCGGGCGGCGCCGUUGGUCGAGAAGACGCUCGAACUUGAUCGUUUAGAGGAAGUAAAAGUCGUAACA